GGGGCCAUAGCUCAGUUGGGAGAGCGCAUGACUGGCAGUCAUGAGGUCAGGGGUUCGACCCCCCUUGGCUCCA
rnacentral:tRNA from 1 species